ensembl:processed_transcript C030005K06Rik RIKEN cDNA C030005K06 gene
AGAGAAAUCUGAAAAGCAGCCUUGGUGGGCUGGCUUGGCUAGGUCUGGUGCUGGGUCCUUUGCUCCUUAACUGCCUGGCUGGUGGGACAGGGCUGCCUACUCUCUAAAGUCCAGCCAGGCAGAGACAAAGUUCCCCACCGCUUGCUGCGAGCUCCCAUCAGCUCCUGCUCCCGCCUUCCUCCACAUUCCUGCGCUGAACUUGGCGGAGUCCAGCGGCUGGCGUACCUUCCCUGGGCUCCUCCGCUUCGGAGAGCAUGCUGUCGGGGUGCACAGCCACAGGCGCCACCGCCACGGACAUGGACGUGAGGCUGCGAGGCUUCUAGACGAGGCCUUGUUUUAGCAUCAACCCUAGAGUGAGGGGCUCCAAGUAAAAUACCUGAAAGGAAAACAUCCAAUGGAAAGAAAUCUCUGGCUGGAGAGUGUUACAUUCUCCUAUAACUGAGAAAGGACCUUAAGGAAAAAAAAAAAACCUCAAAUAUCCAUCUACUUAUCUAUAAAAUGAAGACAAAAGCAGUAUGUGAUUCACAGAUUUGUCUGGUUAUUACAGAUGGCACUAUAAACAAAGUGAUUUGAAACUGUAAGUUCUAUACACAGGUUGUCACUAACUAUUGCACCUUAUUACAAUAAACUUUGUAAAGGAUACUCUU